rnacentral:sRNA from 1 species
UGGCUUGGUGGAGCUGAAGAGGGCACUCACAUCUCUAUGCCCAACCCUGCCAGCAGGGUGGAAAUUCAGGCAGGCUGUGGGAGGGUGGGGUUGUCCUCCUGGGGCUCUGCCCAGCUCUCCCAUCUAGCUUCCCAUACACCCACUGCAGGGGCCACAGGCACCCAAGGAGGCCUCGAAGAUGGACUGGCCCUCCGUCUGCUACAUCCACAGGGGGCACGCUAGAAACGCAGAAGGGGACGCAACAGCCACAUUCCAGUCCACAAAGACACCGCGCAGGCCCGUCCAUCUGCCCCGUGAAUGCCACCCAGGCAGAGACACACAUACAGCUGAGGCUGGGCCGGAUCCCAGAGCAAACCCUUGGGUGCCUCUGGAGGGAGCCCGCCAAGAGGGAUGGCUCAUAAACACUGGGGAAGGAACAGAAGGGGAGGGAGCAAAGGAACUCGGCCGCUCACCUCCGACCCAACCACUUCCUGAGAAGCCAUCUCUGUGGUCAUGGUGGUCCCAGGCCUGGCUCUCCCUGCGCCCACCCCCACCACCCAGUCACUCCACCCAGUCACCCCACCCAGCUGUGACCUGCCGCUUCCCUCCAUCUCACAUGCUUUCCCCUCACCUCCCUCAGGAAGCCUCCCCAACCUCUGGCCUCCAGUCCCAACAAGCCAUGCUCCUUCCAGAGGGAACCUCUGCCAGGGGAGCCUCCACUUUCUUGCUCCUGCCUCCCUACCUGGCACCCAGGCCGGCCCUGGUACCCUGGUACUGAAUAAAGGCACACGUCUAAAUGAUGUCGGGGGGAAUCUGCCCAGUGUUGGCACUGGAGCGAACACGACCCACUGCCAGCAUGGCCCACGAGCCACGCCCCCCCCAAGCCAGCACCUCCUCCCCAGAGGAAGCACGGGGCUCAAGGGGGCACGCCCCUGAAUGGGAGGUCACACAUGGUGCAUACAAUGGAAUAGGAUUAAUCCGUGAAAAGGAAGAAAUUCUGACACAUGCUCCAGCGUGGAGGAACCUUGAGGACAACACUGAGUGAAAUAAGCCAGACACGAAAGGACAGAUACGGCAAGACUCGACUUACGUGAGGUCCCUAGAGGAGUCGGAUUCAUAGAGACUGAAAGGAUGGCGGGCACCAGGGGCGGUGGAGAGGGGAAAUGGGGAGUUACUGUUUAAUGGGGACAGAGUUUCAGUUUUACAAGAUGAAAAGGGUCCUGGAGCUGGAUGGGGGUGACGGCCGCACAACAGCAUGAAUGGACUGAACGCCACUGAACUGAACUCUUGAAAAUGGUUAAACUGGCAAAUUUUGUUAUGCAUAUUUUGCCACAAAAAGCAAACAACUCUUCUCCCCAAAAAUAUCUGGGGUGUACUUACACUAAAUAUGUAGGGCAUAUUUACGCUCAACAUUUAUUUCCUUAUUUGAAAUUAAAGUAUUUGGGACACACUGCACUACAAAAUGAUUCAGGGUCUACCUGAAAUUCCCAUGUACCUGGUGUCCUGUCUUUGCAUCCGCUAAGUCCGGCGACCCUUUGCAGCAUGGGGGGUGGGGGUGGG